CGCUGACAAAAGCUCUGAAAGACAGAAUGUUGAGCCAUGACCUCCUCCUCCUCCUCCUGACGGCUCAACAAUACCGUCAUUAUUCCUUCCCUAGCAGGGUCUCAGGUGCUCCGCAGAUGCGGUGGAGGACGGCACCUGGAACCCGUUGGGGGGGGAGGUGUUGGAGAAGAGACAAUGCAGCUCGGUGCACGAGGGCCCGGGCUUUGUCACGGCUGUGGUGGGGAGGGUUCCUGGCACCGUGAUUUGAUGCACAAAGAAAAACAAAAUCACAUUGCCAGGGAUUUCCACUCCUUCACGGCACCGCGGGUGACCCGCCCGCGUUGUAUUUCCACAGCGGGAUGCCUUUGUGUUGUCUCCUUCAGACACAAAGUUAUCUGAGACUGGAUGUUGCUACGGAUUCCGAAGGAGUAAAUACUGGAGAGGUUUGAACGGGUUUUGUGAUCAGCUCCCUCAGUGGAUUUCAAGAGGUUAACCAGUUUAUCACAAAACUGCAAAAAAUGGGUUUAAAGCGUGCAGUUGAAUGCGCAUAUGUCUAAAGAUGUAACUGUCUUCACCAUUCUCACAUUUCAUGUCAAUCACUCGAUGUAAAAGCACACAAGAGCCUACAAUUAUACAUGUUUACACAACAAGUUUUGCCUCUCAGAAUUUACAGUAGAUUCAUUAACAGUGAGACGAUUUUCAUGUUUCAAAUGAAGGACACACUUUAAACAUUUUACAAAUGUGCCCCGUCAAAGGGGAAGCAGACCUCAACAUUAGAAGCAUUGCAAAAAUGUACCACUGAGCAGUCACGUAAAGGUCGGCGUAGACCUGAAUUCGCUCCAAAGCCAGCCCCCCACUUGCUGAAGGCACAGAGCUUAGCUAAUUGGUGAGCAGUGAUCCCUGCUAUGUGUUGUUCACAGUGGCUAAGUUCAGUGCCUGAGGUGAAAUAGGGGAUUCGACGGAGGGGAUUUGUUCGGGUGAAUGGAAAGAUCCUGAUGAUCUCGGAUAUGAAGACAGGAGGAGGAAGGAAGACGGGCGGGGGGAGAAAUUACAAAAAAAAGAAAGAAAGCAAAGUAAAAGUAAAGGUUAUGAUCCCAUAAAGGAGCAAUGUGGGGUUCAUGGUUUAAUGGAGCAAUACAGUCCAGACAAGCUUUAUCGUUUUCUUUAUUGUUUGCCUAAAGCAACAACGUCUUAUUUUACCCCAGUUAUAACCGUAGACAAGAAUCUUCAUGCAUGCCAAAUACGUUUGACAGCGCAUCACUGAGACAGUUUGAACCAGGUUCAAUGUGGACUUAACAGUUCCACAGGUUGUAUUUGAGGAAUGUGGUGCUAAAUGUCAGAUCCGUCUGGGCAUGCCCCGUUCGUGUCCAACUGUGUUUGCUCAGGGCGAGUGUCCCGGUUUGUUGGUGCCACAGCCUGGACCUUUAUGUCUGAGGAGAAGCCUGCGUGCGCCGAGUUCACAGUUUGAUAACCCCUCGCAGUGAUUGUCAGAGCCUAGCAACCGUUGCUACCCACAGCAGGCCCGUAAACCUUUGAAUUCAAAAGCGGUGGGUUGUCGCACAAAGGACAGUCUGCACUCACCAUUUAGAGACUUUGGAGAUUUCUGUCCUUUUGUAGCUUGUCCAAACACAAGUGUAAAGAAUUAAAUUAAAUCAAGCUACAUGUGUUAGGUCAUCCGGCUAUUCAUUAAUAAUCAAUAAAAAAUAAACAAUAACCCUGAUAUUCCAUGUCCACGUCUUUGGUUUGGAUCACCAACCGGAUAGAAUUGAUAACUUUCUGCUUGGGACAUGAGCUUUAGCGUUUUAGUUAAAUAUCCUUUGGUAAAAGGUUUAAUAACUGAGUUAGCAAUGUUAUAAACCUUCAGGAGAUGAAAUGUUAUUUCUGCAGUAUCUGCAGUUCACUUUUAGUAAUGCAAAGCUGCAUUUAUCUACUACAGUGCAAUUCUGCCACUGCCGUCAUUGUGAGUAAGUACCAUGCCAGAACACAAAGCACAACAGGAGUUGCAACUGCUGUGCUUGGUCAAUUUCCAAAGUGUUUCUAUUGUUCUCUGCAUGUUGCACAUCACAUCAUCCUUUUUGUUGGAUUUAAAGAAACACCUUCCAAUGAGGCCGCACGCUGCAUUUUCCUCCCGUGCCUACUGAACUGGUAUCAGUGUUUUUUCUAAAAACUGGCUCAGUUCAGCAGGAACAGGAGUGGAGUCCAUUAACAAUCGGGAUCGACCGAGUUUGUCAUUCAGCUUCGGCUUCACUAUUUGCACAGCACAUUUCCCUGGGACUUGUAACCUCUCCACUCAACGUGCAGCGAGACAGUCUCGGCUAAGAUUCAGCACUUUACUGUGCUCUUGUGUUUAGUUGACCUUAACCAAUGCAUUGAGUUUGCUUCAAGUCAUUGGCCUUGAUUAAAAUCAAACCUGAGCCGUCCAACCUGUCAGACGACGGCACCGAACCCUGAAGCGUCUUCAAGGGCGGUGCAGCUUGAGUUUCACAUGGCUGUCCCUUGCUUUGCUAAAACAUGAAUAUUUCAUGAGCAGAUUUACCAUUUUUUGCUUGAUAGGUGGGCCCUGGCGUCCUCAGCCGCUGUGUGAAUGCUAUUACAUACGGAUGCUGUCGAUCUUGGUGUUGUGCUGCUCAGCCUUCAUGUUUAUUUCAUUAUUCUGCAGAAAACACGCCACCCUCUCUCUGUCUGACUCUUUUUUUUCUGCCUUUUUGUGCUGUCAAAGGCCAGACUGUUACUGGAGUUUAUGUAGUCAUGUAAUCCCGGUUAAAUAUCUGCUGUGUUCGUGUAAUGUAUGUCACCCAGCAGCCUCCAUUAUUAGUGAUGGGGGACGUGAGCAAUGCUGCUUCUUCCGCAUUCUACAGAUAAAUUGCAGCCACCAAAGGAAAAAGCGCAUCAUCUUGAAGUCUCACACCCGUGGGGGAGUGGAAGGCUUAUUACCAAGCACGAUGAAUCUGCUCUUAACCAGCGACUCCUCUGAGCGUGGUUGGAACAUACAAUUGUACGUCUAUUACCCUGCGGAUGAAUGUUUCAUGCGAACUUGAGAUUAGAAAGGUAGGCAGGUAUUUUUCAUUGAUUGGUGUGAUUUUUAUCCCCGGGGUAUUUCAUCUACCUGAUUGUGGAUAACGGUGCGAAUGGAGCAUCAUUCUAAAUGUCAGAACAAUUCUACUGAUUUGGAGCAUGAUUUAUUUUGAUAUUACAGGUGCAACCAAUGUUUCAUUUCAUUAUGAAUCCAACUACUAUUUCAUUUUAAUAAAAAUUUGAAGAGCCUU
ensembl:lncRNA